CCUACGGGUGGCAGCAGUGAGGAAUAUUGGUCAAUGGACGCAAGUCUGAACCAGCCAUGCCGCGUGCAGGAAGACGGCUCUAUGAGUUGUAAACUGCUUUUGUACGAGGGUAAACGCAGAUACGCGUAUCUGUCUGAAAGUAUCGUACGAAUACGGAUCGGCUAACUCCGUGCCAGCAGCCGCGGUAAUACGGAGGAUUCAAGCGUUAUCCGGAUUUAUUGGGUUGAAAGGGUGCGUAGGCGGUCGGAUAAGUUAGAGGUGAAAUCCCGAGGCUCAACUUCGGAAUUGCCUAUGAUACUGUGCGGCUAGAGAGUAGUUGCGGUAGGCGGAAUGUAUGGUGUAGCGGUGAAAUGCUUAGAGAUCAUACAGAACACCGAUUGCGAAGGCAGCUUACCAAGCUACUUCUGACGUUGAGGCACGAAAGCGUGGGGAGCAAACAGGAUUAGAUACCCGAGUAGUC
rnacentral:rRNA from 1 species